AAAUGAAUAGACGGGGACUCGCACAAGCGGUGGAGCAUGUGGUUUAAUUCGACGCAACGCGAAAAACCUUACCAAGCCUUGACAUCCCUCUGAAUAUGAUAGAGAUAUUGUAGGCCCUUCGGGGACAGAGGUGACAGGUGGUGCAUGGUUGUCGUCAGCUCGUGUCGUGAGAUGUUGGGUUAAGUCCCGCAACGAGCGCAACCCUUAUCAUUAGUUGCUAACAUUUAGUUGAGCACUCUAAAGAGACUGCCAGCGAUAAGUUGGAGGAAGGUAGGGAUGACGUCAAAUCAUCAUGCCCCUUAUGGCUUGGGCCACACACGUGCUACAAUGGCCGAUACAAAGAGAUGCAAGACUGUGAAGUUAAGCGGAUCUCAAAAAGUCGGUCUCAGUUCGGAUUGUAGUCUGCAACUCGACUACAUGAAGUUGGAAUCGCUAGUAAUCGUAAAUCAGCAUGUUACGGUGAAUACGUUCUCGAGUCUUGUACACACCGCCCGU
rnacentral:rRNA from 1 species